AACGAACGCUGGCGGCAUGCCUAACACAUGCAAGUCGAACGAGACCUUCGGGUCUAGUGGCGCACGGGUGCGUAACGCGUGGGAACCUGCCCUUAGGUUCGGAAUAACUCCCCGAAAGGGGUGCUAAUACCGGAUAAUGUCUUCGGACCAAAGAUUUAUCUCCUUUGGAUGGGCCCGCGUUGGAUUAGCUAGUUGGUAGGGUAAAAGCCUACCAAGGCGACGAUCCAUAGCUGGUCUGAGAGGAUGAUCAGCCACACUGGGACUGAGACACGGCCCAGACUCCUACGGGAGGCAGCAGUGGGGAAUAUUGGACAAUGGGCGAAAGCCUGAUCCAGCAAUGCCGCGUGAGUGAUGAAGGCCUUAGGGUUGUAAAGCUCUUUUACCCGGGAUGAUAAUGACAGUACCGGGAGAAUAAGCUCCGGCUAACUCCGU
rnacentral:rRNA from 1 species